CCUACGGGAGGCAGCAGUGGGGAAUUUUGGGCAAUGGGCGCAAGCCUGACCCAGCAACGCCGCGUGAAGGAAGAAGGCUUUCGGGUUGUAAACUUCUUUUGACAGGGAAGAGUAGAAGACGGUACCUGUCGAAUAAGCCACGGCUAACUACGCGCCAGCAGCCGCGGUAAUACGUAGGUGGCAAGCGUUGUCCGGAUUUACUGGGUGUAACGGGCGUGUAGCCGGGUUGACAAGUCAGAUGUGAAAUCCUGCGGCUUAACCGGAGAACUGCAUGUGAAACUGGUGAACUUGAGUGCUGGAGAGGCAGACGGAAGUCCGAGUGUAGCGGUGAAAUGCGUAGAUAUAAGGAGGAACACCAGUGGCGAAGGCGGUCUGCUGGACAGCAACUGACGGUGAGGCGCGAAAGCGUGGGUAGCAAACAGGAUUAGAUACCCGAGUAGUC
rnacentral:rRNA from 1 species